rnacentral:rRNA from 1 species
UACGUAGGUGGCAAGCGUUGUCCGGAUUUAUUGGGUUUAAAGGGUGCGUAGGCGGCUUUGUAAGUCAGUGGUGAAAUAUGGCAGCUCAACUCCAGAACUGCCUUUGAUACUGAGGAUCUUGAGUUCGGGAGAGGUGAGUGGAACUGCGAGUGUAGAGGUGAAAUUCGUAGAUAUUCGCAAGAACACCAGUGGCGAAGGCGGCUCACUGGCCCGAUACUGACGCUGAGGCACGAAAGCGUGGGGAGCAAACAGG